UGUUGUUUUCUCGAAAAUCAAUUAAAAAUGGCUUGAUUUUGUGUUGUAUUGACCUUAAAAGCUUUCUUCACUUUUUUCAUGUCUUUUUUAAUGCACUUUUCGUUUAACAAGUCAACAUCAGUUUCUUUUGUUGUAAAAAGGUCAUUGGAAGGUGGCUUUCUUUUCGGAGAAAGUGUUUAUAGCCUUUGACUUCUGCAAUCGGAGAGACUGAGGUCUGCAGUGUAGAUCCUUCUGGAUUAGAUUCAUUUGUGCUAAGUUACAACCGUUUAUAGACAACUUGUUGACUAUAUUCGAUCCUAUAGCUUACUCGCUUAUGUAAUUUUACCUAC
rnacentral:rRNA from 1 species